UUAAGCGACUAAGCGUACACGGUGGAUGCCCUGGCAGUCAGAGGCGAUGAAGGACGUGCUAAUCUGCGAUAAGCGUCGGUAAGGUGAUAUGAACCGUUAUAACCGGCGAUUUCCGAAUGGGGAAACCCAGUGUGUUUCGACACACUAUCAUUAACUGAAUCCAUAGGUUAAUGAGGCGAACCGGGGGAACUGAAACAUCUAAGUACCCCGAGGAAAAGAAAUCAACCGAGAUUCCCCCAGUAGCGGCGAGCGAACGGGGAGGAGCCCAGAGCCUGAAUCAGUGUGUGUGUUAGUGGAAGCGUCUGGAAAGGCGCGCGAUACAGGGUGACAGCCCCGUACACAAAAAUGCACAUGCUGUGAGCUCGAUGAGUAGGGCGGGACACGUGGUAUCCUGUCUGAAUAUGGGGGGACCAUCCUCCAAGGCUAAAUACUCCUGACUGACCGAUAGUGAACCAGUACCGUGAGGGAAAGGCGAAAAGAACCCCGGCGAGGGGAGUGAAAAAGAACCUGAAACCGUGUACGUACAAGCAGUGGGAGCACGCUUAGGCGUGUGACUGCGUACCUUUUGUAUAAUGGGUCAGCGACUUAUAUUCUGUAGCAAGGUUAACCGAAUAGGGGAGCCGAAGGGAAACCGAGUCUUAACUGGGCGUUAAGUUGCAGGGUAUAGACCCGAAACCCGGUGAUCUAGCCAUGGGCAGGUUGAAGGUUGGGUAACACUAACUGGAGGACCGAACCGACUAAUGUUGAAAAAUUAGCGGAUGACUUGUGGCUGGGGGUGAAAGGCCAAUCAAACCGGGAGAUAGCUGGUUCUCCCCGAAAGCUAUUUAGGUAGCGCCUCGUGAAUUCAUCUCCGGGGGUAGAGCACUGUUUCGGCAAGGGGGUCAUCCCGACUUACCAACCCGAUGCAAACUGCGAAUACCGGAGAAUGUUAUCACGGGAGACACACGGCGGGUGCUAACGUCCGUCGUGAAGAGGGAAACAACCCAGACCGCCAGCUAAGGUCCCAAAGUCAUGGUUAAGUGGGAAACGAUGUGGGAAGGCCCAGACAGCCAGGAUGUUGGCUUAGAAGCAGCCAUCAUUUAAAGAAAGCGUAAUAGCUCACUGGUCGAGUCGGCCUGCGCGGAAGAUGUAACGGGGCUAAACCAUGCACCGAAGCUGCGGCAGCGACGCUUAUGCGUUGUUGGGUAGGGGAGCGUUCUGUAAGCCUGUGAAGGUGUGCUGUGAGGCAUGCUGGAGGUAUCAGAAGUGCGAAUGCUGACAUAAGUAACGAUAAAGCGGGUGAAAAGCCCGCUCGCCGGAAGACCAAGGGUUCCUGUCCAACGUUAAUCGGGGCAGGGUGAGUCGACCCCUAAGGCGAGGCCGAAAGGCGUAGUCGAUGGGAAACAGGUUAAUAUUCCUGUACUUGGUGUUACUGCGAAGGGGGGACGGAGAAGGCUAUGUUGGCCGGGCGACGGUUGUCCCGGUUUAAGCGUGUAGGCUGGUUUUCCAGGCAAAUCCGGAAAAUCAAGGCUGAGGCGUGAUGACGAGGCACUACGGUGCUGAAGCAACAAAUGCCCUGCUUCCAGGAAAAGCCUCUAAGCAUCAGGUAACAUCAAAUCGUACCCCAAACCGACACAGGUGGUCAGGUAGAGAAUACCAAGGCGCUUGAGAGAACUCGGGUGAAGGAACUAGGCAAAAUGGUGCCGUAACUUCGGGAGAAGGCACGCUGAUAUGUAGGUGAAGCGACUUGCUCGUGGAGCUGAAAUCAGUCGAAGAUACCAGCUGGCUGCAACUGUUUAUUAAAAACACAGCACUGUGCAAACACGAAAGUGGACGUAUACGGUGUGACGCCUGCCCGGUGCCGGAAGGUUAAUUGAUGGGGUCAGCGCAAGCGAAGCUCUUGAUCGAAGCCCCGGUAAACGGCGGCCGUAACUAUAACGGUCCUAAGGUAGCGAAAUUCCUUGUCGGGUAAGUUCCGACCUGCACGAAUGGCGUAAUGAUGGCCAGGCUGUCUCCACCCGAGACUCAGUGAAAUUGAACUCGCUGUGAAGAUGCAGUGUACCCGCGGCAAGACGGAAAGACCCCGUGAACCUUUACUAUAGCUUGACACUGAACAUUGAGCCUUGAUGUGUAGGAUAGGUGGGAGGCUUUGAAGUGUGGACGCCAGUCUGCAUGGAGCCGACCUUGAAAUACCACCCUUUAAUGUUUGAUGUUCUAACGUUGACCCGUGAUCCGGGUUGCGGACAGUGUCUGGUGGGUAGUUUGACUGGGGCGGUCUCCUCCUAAAGAGUAACGGAGGAGCACGAAGGUUGGCUAAUCCUGGUCGGACAUCAGGAGGUUAGUGCAAUGGCAUAAGCCAGCUUGACUGCGAGCGUGACGGCGCGAGCAGGUGCGAAAGCAGGUCAUAGUGAUCCGGUGGUUCUGAAUGGAAGGGCCAUCGCUCAACGGAUAAAAGGUACUCCGGGGAUAACAGGCUGAUACCGCCCAAGAGUUCAUAUCGACGGCGGUGUUUGGCACCUCGAUGUCGGCUCAUCACAUCCUGGGGCUGAAGUAGGUCCCAAGGGUAUGGCUGUUCGCCAUUUAAAGUGGUACGCGAGCUGGGUUUAGAACGUCGUGAGACAGUUCGGUCCCUAUCUGCCGUGGGCGCUGGAGAACUGAGGGGGGCUGCUCCUAGUACGAGAGGACCGGAGUGGACGCAUCACUGGUGUUCGGGUUGUCAUGCCAAUGGCACUGCCCGGUAGCUAAAUGCGGAAGAGAUAAGUGCUGAAAGCAUCUAAGCACGAAACUUGCCCCGAGAUGAGUUCUCCCUGACUCCUUGAGAGUCCUGAAGGAACGUUGAAGACGACGACGUUGAUAGGCCGGGUGUGUAAGCGCAGCGAUGCGUUGAGCUAACCGGUACUAAUGAACCGUGAGGCUUAACCUU
rnacentral:rRNA from 1 species